rnacentral:rRNA from 1 species
UGGGAGCUCUCCCAUAUGGUCGACCUGCAGGCGGCCGCGAAUUCACUAGUGAUUCGUAUUACCGCGGCUGCUGGCACAGAGUUAGCCGGUGCUUAUUCUGCGGGUACCGUCAUAGCAACGAGUUAUUCGCUCGUUACCUUUCUUCCCCACCUAAAGUGCUUUACAACCCGAAGGCCUUCUUCACACACGCGGCAUCGCUGGAUCAGGGUUUCCCCCAUUGUCCAAGAUUCCCCACUGCUGCCUCCCGUAGGAGUCUGGGCCGUGUCUCAGUCCCAGUGUGGCUGGUCAUCCUCUCAGACCAGCUACGGAUCGUCGCCUUGGUAGGCUUUUACCCCACCAACUAGCUAAUCCGACGUAGGCUCACCCCAGAGCGCAAGGCCUUUCGGUCCCCUGCUUUUGAUCUCUCGAUAUCAUGUGGUAUUAGCCCGAGUUUCCUCGGGUUAUCCCACGCUCCAGGACAGAUUCCUACGUGUUACUCACCCGUCCGCCACUCGCCACCCCAUAAAGACCGAAAUCUUUACUGUGCUGCCGUUCGACUUGCAUGUGUUAGGCAUGCCCCCAGCGUUCAAUCUGAGCCAUGAUCAAACUCUAAUCGAAUUCCCGCGGCCGCCAUGGC